rnacentral:lncRNA from 1 species
UUAUGAUACAUUCAUCAAAACCCAUACAAUGUACAGCAAGAAUGAACUUUACAGAAUUCAGAUGAUAAUGAUGGGCCAAUGCUGGGUUUCCUUAGCUCAGCAGAAUCUGAGUGAGAAACACCUGAAUUUGAGGCAAACGGGCCCAAAGCUGCAGAAGCCAGUCAUCUCCUUCCC